UACGUAGGGGGCAAGCGUUGUCCGGAUUUAUUGGGCGUAAAGAGCGUGUAGGCGGCUAGGUAGGUCCGUUGUGAAAACUCGAGGCUCAACCUCGAGACGCCGGUGGAAACCAUCUAGCUAGAGUCCGGAAGAGGAGAGUGGAAUUCCCGGUGUAGCGGUGAAAUGCGCAGAUAUCGGGAGGAACACCAGUAGCGAAGGCGGCUCGCUGGGCCAUUCCUGACGCUGAGACGCGAAAGCUAGGGGAGCGAACAGG
rnacentral:rRNA from 1 species